UACGUAGGUCCCGAGCGUUGUCCGGAUUUAUUGGGCGUAAAGCGAGCGCAGGUGGUUUAUUAAGUCUGGUGUAAAAGGCAGUGGCUCAACCAUUGUAUGCAUUGGAAACUGGUAGACUUGAGUGCAGGAGAGGAGAGUGGAAUUCCAUGUGUAGCGGUGAAAUGCGUAGAUAUAUGGAGGGACACCGGUGGCGAAAGCGGCUCUCUGGCCUGUAACUGUCACUGAGGCUCGAAAGCGUGGGGAGCAAACAGG
rnacentral:rRNA from 1 species